AGUGAACGCUGGCGGCAGGCCUAACACAUGCAAGUCGAACGGCAGCACAGGAGAGCUUGCUCUCUGGGUGGCGAGUGGCGGACGGGUGAGGAAUAUAUCGGAAUCUACCCUUUCGUGGGGGAUAACGUAGGGAAACUUACGCUAAUACCGCAUACGAACUGAGGUUGAAAGCGGCGGACCGCAAGGCGUCGCGCGGAUGGAUGAGCCGAUAUCCGAUUAGCUAGUUGGCGGGGUAAAAGCCCACCAAGGCGACGAUCGGUAGCUGGUCUGAGAGGAUGAUCAGCCACACUGGAACUGAGACACGGUCCAGACUCCUACGGGAGGCAGCAGUGGGGAAUAUUGGACAAUGGGCGCAAGCCUGAUCCAGCCAUGCCGCGUGUGUGAAGAAGGCC
rnacentral:rRNA from 1 species